rnacentral:ncRNA from 1 species
AUUUUUUUUUCUUGGUGAUUUAGUGAUCUUGAAAAUAAGCAUAGAUUCGAAGAUUUCCAAAUAGGGCAACCUUUCGAACUGCUAAAUCCAUGGGCAGGCAAGAAACAACCUGGUGAACUGAAACAUCUUAGUAGCCAGAGGAAAAGAAAGCAAAAGUGAUUCCCGUAGUAGCGGCGAGCGAAAUAGGAGCAGCCUAAAUCGUGAAAACGGAGUUGUGGGAGAGCAAUACAAGCAUUGUGCUGCUAAGCAAAGCAACCUGAAUGCUAAACCCUAGAUGGCGAAAGUCCAGUAGCCAAAAGUCCAUUGGAUUAUUCCUUCUUACUAAGCAUACGAACCAUGAAUUAUAUUAUUAAGACCAUUCAAUCAAU